AGUAGCAGGCACUUGGCUGGCUCUUUUCUGUGGUGGGCACAGAUUGGAUGGGAGUAACCUGUCCUGAACCAGCUCCUAGAGCAGACCCCCAGCUCCGGGUAGGCACAGGUGCCCAGACAUGAGGGUCUGCAUAUGAGGGUGAUGUUGUGUGGGUCCAGCUUUCCAGGGGAAGCAGAAUUGGGGCCCAAGUUCAUAAAGAAUCCCACCCCCACACCAGUGCCCAGGGUGGGGAUGCAGGCCAAGGGGCUGACCACGGGUGCUGGGAGAGUUCUUCCAUGCUGAAUUUUCAGCCUUUGUUUGGAUAGAGAGUUAUAUGAAAAUGGCAGAUGUCUGUGUGAUGGUCCCUUACCUGUGAAGGUCAGAGGUGGUGAACUCACAGAAAGAAACCCAAAAUUCUGUUUUAGGAUUGGAAUGGUUAGUAUUCCUCCUCCUAACCCAACCAUGUUAUGGCCUGGAGGGCAUUUUUAAACAUUCUGUGCCAUUUUCUGCACUGAUUGGAGUCUGCAUUUCUCCCGAAGAAUGUCAAUAUUAUGCCCCCAAAUUAGACACUUACUCAUAGCAGCACCUAUAAAGAUAAAGUUUUGAACUCAACACUGGAUAGUCAUUUCCAAACCAACAUUGUUAUACAUUAUUUAAAGAAAGUCUUUGCACUCCCAUUAGGCUUCUUGGGCAGCCAUAACAAAGUCCCACAUAUGGGAAUGCUUAAACAGAAGAAAUUGUUCUUACAGUUCUAGAAGCUAGAGGUCUGAGAUCAAGGUGUCAGCAGGGAUGGUGCCUCCUGAGGCCUCUCUCCUGGGCUUGUAGGUGGUGUCUUCUCCCUGCAUCCUCACAGGGUCAUCUCUCUGUGUGUGUCUGUGUCCUCAUCUCCUCUUCUUGUAAGGAAACCAGUCCUAUUGGAUUAGGGCCCACCCAUGUGACCUCAUUUUACUUUAAUUUCCUCCUUAAUGACCCAUCUCCAAAUACAAUCACAUUCCGGGUACUGGGUGUUAGGAUUUCAACAUAAGAGUUUUGGGGUAGGCGUGGCACAAUUCAGUCUGUAACAUUUCUGUUAUAUAAUGCACUUGUAAAUAUCA
rnacentral:lncRNA from 10 species